AUGACUUAUAGUGCCAAAGGUGCA
rnacentral:siRNA from 1 species